CGAAUCUGCAAUGAAUUGUUC
rnacentral:piRNA from 1 species